UUAAUUAUUUAGCCAAUUACCAAUUUUUAAAAAGUCUAAUUAAAAUUAAUCUAUACAGAAAAUUUGAUUAAAUUAAUUAAGAUUCUAACCAUCCUAACUAAGUCAACAUCCUAAUUAAAUCAAGUUAGAAUUGCUUCCAUUUAUGAUUUCUUCUGAGAUUUUCUGCUUAUCAGGUUCCGUGAAAGGAGUGCAGAAUGAUGAAAGAUGGAGAAAGGUUGAAGAAAUGGUUGCAAUGUUGAAGAAAUAGUUGAAAGGUUGAAGAAAUGGUUGAAAGGUAUUGAAGGAAUCAUUGAAAAGUUGAAGAAAAUGGUUACAAGUUUUGGAAGUGAUUAGUCAUUGUUCUUGCGCAUGUUUAUUCCGUGUUUGCUGCAGAAUCGCAUUUUUUAUUGGCUCAGCAUUGCAUUGGUUCAGAAUUGUUUCGGAUCAACUCUGUUUUGAUUCGGUCGGUUGAACAUGUUUGCGUAUGGUGUGAUUGAUUUGGAAGGUGGAAACGUUAUCUUCAUGAAUGGAUUAUUUUGUUUUGUGUAGUUUAUAAUUAGUUUUGGAAAUUCUGUAACUUUGGAUGGGAAUGAAUCAUGAAUUGGAAACAUGGAUUAACUUGUAAGUAAAUGAAGAAUGGGUUUGUAUGGAAUGUCAAUAAAUUGUAUAUUAAACGGGAAUCGUAAUAAGCUUAUGGAAAUAUUAUGAAUACAAACUUAGAAAUUUGUGAA